rnacentral:lncRNA from 1 species
AGAACAUUACUGCAGCUGCUUCCAGAGCUUCCACACAGAAAUUUCGUUGUUGUUUUGCUUGUUUAUUUUGUUUUCUUUUCAUUUGCAGGGGAGGUUGCAAGGGUGAAAGGCAGAUAUGGAGGGAGGGGGAAGAUGAGGAGGAUUAGGGUGCAUGAUGUGAAAUUCACACACACACAAAAAGUUAUUUUUUUUUAAAUGAAAGAAAAAGAAAAGAGUCAGAAAACACACACAUGACUUCCAUUCUGCUUCACUGGUGGAAACACUUAUGGGCACACUCAGCAUCAAGGAAAUCCGGGACUUGUAUUUGGAUCAUUGCAUGUCUAGGAAGAAUGAAUCUGGGAGGGGCCCAGUGACUCUGCCUGUCAGCUUUUGGUGUGAUUCGUGUGGAGUAAGGACCGGAGGAAAGAGAAUGAUAUAGAAGAAUUCAGGUCCAUUUUAACCUCUCAUCUUAGAUAAGAUUGCAAAUGUCUGCUUUCAGUUUUAGACACAUCCAAGUAUUUAAAAAAUCCACCCCUUGCUUUAUGUUCAGAGGUAUUUUUGUUUUGUUUAAUUGUUCUGCUACUCCAGGGCUUCAGGUUUGACCAUGUGUUCUAGUUGUUUUAUCAGCUGCCCUGGCACGUUCCUUUGUUCCUCUAGAUUUCCCCUUUCCUUCUUUGAGAAACACACUGAACACAUUGAUUCCUGGCAGCUGUUCUGCAUCUCUUUGUGACGACUGAGACAAAGAGUUAGCUAGGUCUGCUGUACCAGUCAAUCAAACUGGCUUGGAAUUUGCAUUUAUAAAUAUUCCAUUGAUGAUUUUUUUAAAUAAGAGCUAUUAUUGCCCUACUUCAUGUUUUCAUUUUCCUAACCUACCCUUCUUACUUAUGAAGCACAAUAGAUAACCAAUAUAUCAUCCAUAUUUAAAGAAAAAAAGCAAACACAAAAGAGAAGCAAAGAGGAAGGAAUACCUUCCUAAAAUUUCCUGCAACUCUAGAUUUCUAAAAAUAAUUGAAGAUCAGUGUCUUUGCAGAAUAGAUUUGUAUGGUUCUUACCCCUUAUGAUCCCCAGAUCCCAGAGUUUGCUCUAGAAACUAAUUAGAGCUUUUGCUGAAGUCCAUUUUUAGCCUAUGUUGAUACAGUAGGUCACUGUGGCUUUUUCAUAAAAAUGGGUCUUGUAGAAGAGCAUCACACCCAUAAGAAUGUAUUUGAUGGUAAACAAAUAUGCUUCUUUGGUUAAUGGUAAAUACAUGCAUUUCUUUGGUUAACUUGGGCCCUCUUCUGUUGUCUGCCAAGAGAAAGCACCUUCAGCUUACACUUGGCAAAAUGGCAGAGACCUAAGCUAUGGGAGAAGGCUGUCCUCACACUAUUUGCUUUGUAAGGGGAAGAAGGAGAACGUGUUGUAAAUUGUGUAAGUUGGUGAAACAAUAAUAAAUUGUUGGGACCAUGAAGAUUUUUUCUGUUUUAUUUUUUUCCCAAAAGAGCACUUCAAAAUUAUGAAUACAGAAUACACAGAGAAAUUUUGGUAGUCAUUUCUGCCAUAUGAAAAGGAAACUAGAGAGAUGAAGGAGAUGUAAGGCCUGGAGAAAUGUGGAUGAGAGGACAGAAUGCUAAUAUCCAUUUAUCGAAGCUUUGCAAUUUCAUGAGGUCCCAUUAAGUGGAUAUUAUCCCCAAAGCUCAAAAUACACAAGAUACAAUUCAUAGACCACAUGAAGCUCAAGAAGAAGGAAGAACAAAGUGUGGAUGCUUCGGUCCUUCUUAGAAGUUAGAACAAAAUACUCAUGGGAGGAAAUACGGAGACAAAGUGUGGAACAGAGACUGAAGGAAAGGCCAUCCAGAGACUGCCACACCUGGAGAUCCAUCCCAUAUACAGUCACCAAACCCAGACACUAUUGUAACUGCUAACAAGUGCUUAUUGACAGGAGCCUGAUAUAGCUGUCUCCUGAGAGGCUCUGCCAGAGCCUGACAAAUACAGAGGUGGAUGUUCUUAGUCAACCAUUGGAAUGAGCACGGGGUCCCUGAUGGAGGAGUUAGAGAAAGGACUGAAGGAGCUGAAGGGGCUUGCAACCCCAUAAGAAGAACAACAAUAUCAACCAACCAGACCCCCCAGAGCUCCCAGGGACUAAACCACCAACCAAAAAGUAUACACGGAGGGACCCAUGGCUCCAGGUGCAUAUGUAGCAGAAGAUGGGCUUAUCUGGCAUCAAUGGAAGGAGAGGCUCUUUGUCCUGUGAAGGCUCGAUGCACCAGUGUAGGGGAAUGCCAGGGUGGUAAAGUGGGAGUGGGUGGGUGGGUGGGGGAGCACCCUCAUAGAAGAAGGGGGAGUGGGGAAGGGAUAGGGGGUUUCCGGGACAUGGGGGAAAGGAGAUAACAUUUGAAAUGUAAAUAAAGAGAAUUAAAAAAAAAAAAGAGGACAGGA